AUUGUAAGACUCGUUUGAUGCCA
rnacentral:siRNA from 1 species